rnacentral:rRNA from 1 species
UACGAAGGGGGCUAGCGUUGUUCGGAAUUACUGGGCGUAAAGCGCGCGCAGGCGGUCCUUCAAGUCAGAGGUGAAAGCCCAGAGCUCAACUCUGGAACGGCCCUUGAGACUAGAGGACUUGGGUACGGGAGAGGUGAGUGGAAUUCCGAGUGUAGAGGUGAAAUUCGUAGAUAUUCGGAAGAACACCAGUGGCGAAGGCGGCUCACUGGCCCGUUACCGACGCUCAGGCGCGACAGCGUGGGGAGCAAACAGG